GGGGAUCGUUGAUCGGAUACUGGGCGUAAGGGCGCGUAGGCGGCUUGGCAAGUCAGAUGUGAAAGCCCCGGGCUUAACUCGGGAAUUGCAUCUGAAACUGCUUUACUUGAGUCCUGGAGGGGAUAGUGGAAUUCCCAGUGUAGCGGUGAAAUGCGUAGAUAUUGGGAGGAACACCUGCGGCGAAGGCGGCUAUCUGGACAGUGACUGACGCUGAGGCGCGAAAGCUAGGGGAGCGAACGGGAUUAGAUACCCCGGUAGUCCUAGCCGUAAACGAUGGGCACUUGGUGUUGGGGGUAUUGAGUCCCUCGGUGCCGGGGUUAACACGUUAAGUGCCCCGCCUGGGGAGUACGGUCGCAAGACUGAAACUCAAAGGAAUUGACGGGGGCCCGCACAAGCGGUGGAGCAUGUGGUUUAAUUCGACGCAACGCGAAGAACCUUACCCAGGCUUGACAUACAGGUAGUAGGAACCUGAAAGGGGGACGACCCCGCAAGGGGAGCCUGCACAGGUGCUGCAUGGCUGUCGUCAGCUCGUGCCGUGAGGUGUUGGGUUAAGUCCCGCAACGAGCGCAACCCCCGCCCUCUGUUUGCCACCGGGUCAUGCCGGGAACUCUGAGGGGACUGCCAGCGAUGAGCUGGAGGAAGGUGGGGAUGACGUCAAGUCAUCAUGGCCUUUAUGCCUGGGGCUACACACGUGCUACAAUGGCCGGUACAGAUGGUUGCAAACCCGUGAGGGGGAGCUAAUCCCAAAAAGCCGGCCUCAGUUCAGAUUGGGGUCUGCAACUCGACCCCAUGAAGGCGGAAUCGCUAGUAAUCGCGUAUCAGCACGACGCGGUGAAUACGUUCCCGGGCCUUGUACACACCGCCCGUCACACCACGAAAGUCAGAUGUACCUGAAGUCGGUGCGCUAACCCGCAAGGGAGGCAGCUGCCCACGGUAUGUCUGGUGAUUGGGGUGAAGUCGUAACAAGGUAACC
rnacentral:rRNA from 1 species